rnacentral:rRNA from 1 species
AAUUGGAGGGCAAGUCUGGUGCCAGCAGCCGCGGUAAUUCCAGCUCCAAUAGCGUAUAUUAAAGUUGUUGCAGUUAAAAAGCUCGUAGUUGAAUUUCGGGGUCAGCAGGUUGGUCGUGCCAAUGGUAUGAACUGGCCUUGCUGAUUCCUCCCUCUUGAUGAGCCGUAAUGCCAUUAAUUUGGUGUUGCGGGGAAUCAGGACUGUUACUUUGAAAAAAUUAGAGUGUUUAAAGCAGGCAAGCGCUUGAAUACAUUAGCAUGGAAUAAUGAAAUAGGACGUUCGAUCCUAUUUUGUUGGUUUCUAGGAUUGACGUAAUGAUUAAUAGGGAUAGUUGGGGGCAUUAGUAUUCAAUUGUCAGAGGUGAAAUUCUUGGAUUUAUUGAAGACUAACUACUGCGAAAGCAUUUGCCAAGGAUGUUUUCAUUAAUCAAGAACGAAAGUUAGGGGAUCGAAGACGAUCAGAUACCGUCGUAGUCUUAACCAUAAACUAUGCCGACUAGGGAUCGGAUGAUGUUAAUUUUUUAAUGACUCAUUCGGCGCCUUACGGGAAACCAAAGUGU